AUUACAAAACCCCUCCUACACUUUAAUUCCCUCCUAUUAAAAAAUUUCCCCAUUCUUUAGCUUUUGAAAUCCCUAAUUGCCUUACCCUUAUGGUUACGUCCCACUCUAAGUCCCAUUGUCUCCCACAGAUUUCGUAAACCCUUAUUUUCAUCUCCAAUAACAUAAACUAGACUCUAGACUCCAAAUCGCUCAUGAAUAUGUUUGCAACCUCGUCGUCGUUGCCCCUGAUACUGCUUGUUAAACACUCUGACCACAUAUCUCUGACUCAGAUAUAAACCAAGUGAGGAGACCUUACUACAAAGUGAUUGAUUUUGUUUAAAUAUAAUCAUGGAAUGUGAUAUUAGCCCAAAAAGAAGAAAAGCUGGUGGUUCAUCUACUACUUUAAAUGUAUCACCUUUGCAUGUUGCAAGUUUUGCUUCAGGUGCACUUUAGAAAUUACCAAACUACAUUCGUUCUCUAGUGGCUCAACAUGUUGCAAAAACAUCAUUCCAACCCACAACUUUUGCUAGAGCUACUUCUGCAUCAAGACAACCACUUCCAUCAUUAUCAUCUUCAAUUCUAAUAUUAGCCCUAGAAUUGCUUCACACAGAGAAAUGGAAAAGAUUCGCACAAUCUAGGUUGAAUAACAUGGUGUCUACCAAAUUCAGUAUCGUCUUGGACAUGAUGAAGGCUUUAUAGGGUGACCACACUUGGGUGUAUAGGAAUAGAGUAUAUGGGUCUUGUAACACAAUAUUGUGUUUCCAUUUCUUAUCUUCAUUGAACUAUUAUUAUUUUAUAUUAUGAAAUAAGGCCUAAGUUAUUAACAUAUAUUUUUUUUGUUAAAAAGUGUCACUAAAACUAUGAAAAUAAUAUUUAUUUUAGAAGUUAUAUAGUGUCAUAAAAAAUUGUGCCACUAAAAGCUACAUGUGCUUUAGUGGCAUA